AUAUGGGACUCGAGGGUCCCUAGUCGGGUGAGGGUGUUUGGAUGGUUGUUCUACCUCGACGGGCUUAACACUCGAGCCAAUCUACGCCAUAAGUCCAUCAUCGAGACAUCAUCCUGUCCCCGUUGCGGCAGUGCGCCGGAGGAUCGUGCUCACCUCUUCUUCACUUGCCCCGCUGUCAUCGCCAUAUGGGACGCGCUCGGACUACACCCGGUCUCCUCACCGCUUUCAGAGCUGUGGAGCACGCCAUGUCACCCCACCCUACCGCAGUCCGUGUGGCCAUUCAUCCUUCUGCUUCUACUCUGGAAAAUUUGGGAUGCAAGGAAUGCUAUGACCUUCAGAGGGGUUAACCAAACCCCACUUGAUGUAAUUAGGGCAGUCAUCUCCGACCUCGCUCUCUGGUCACACCGCCUCUCAAAGGCGGAACAAAUAAUCCAUGCCGGUCUGUGGCGGGAUUUCUUCUCCUCUCGUCUUACCUAA
rnacentral:rRNA from 1 species